ensembl:miRNA
CCAGUUAAAUUUUAAUUUCAGAUAAUCAAUAAAUAAUUGUUAGUAUAAGUAUGUUCCAUGCAAUAUUUGGGACAUACUUAUACUAAAAAAAGUGUUCAUUGCUUAUCUGAAGUCAAAUUUAACUCAGCAUCCUGCA